UCCUACGGGAGGCAGCAGUGGGGAAUAUUGCGCAAUGGGCGAAAGCCUGACGGAGCGACGCCACGUGGAUGACGAAGGCCUUCGGGUCGUAAAAUCCUGUCAGGGGGGACGAUGGUCGAUCUUCGGAUUGACUGACGGUACCCUCAGAGGAAGCUCCGGCCAACUACGUGCCAGCAGCCGCGGUAAUACGUAGGGAGCAAGCGUUAUUCGGAUUUACUGGGCGUAAAGAGUGCGUAGGCGGUUAUAUAAGUCAAUGGUGAAAUCUCCACUUUCAAGGUGGAAACUGCCUUUGAUACUGUAUGACUAGAGGGCAAGAGGGGGAAAUGGAACUCUGGGAGUAGCGGUGAAAUGCGUAGAUAUCCAGAGGAACGCCGGUAGCGAAGGCGAUUUCCUGGCUUGCAUCUGACGCUGAGGCACUAAAGCUAGGGUAGCGAUCGGGAUUAGAUACCCCGGUAGUCCAAGCCG
rnacentral:rRNA from 1 species